rnacentral:lncRNA from 10 species
CUUUGCACAUGCUAGUUCCUCUACCUGGAACGACCUUUCUCUCUCUUUUCCACCUGGCAGACUCCCAACCAGAGGUGGCCCCUGCAGGGAGCUUUCCCAGACCUCCUCUGGGACAGCUAGUUGCUCUUUCUGUUGGACCCCAUCAAUUUCAUCUCCUUCCUCCCUCUCCACCACCAACUGUCCAAUCCCUGCAUGGCUUCGCCCUCAACGUGGGGGUCUCCAGAGGACGCUGCCCACACUGAUUCACCACUGGGUGUCCAGCGCCCUGGCACAAGCCUGGCACAGGGUCGUGACCCACUGAAUUGACUUCACCAUCCACUAAUGCGUUGUCCUCUCCAGUUUGGAAGACUGCUGUUUCCUUUGUAGCAUUUGACUGCAAGAAAAGGAGGGCAGUGAAGAAGACUUCUGAACCUUUGAGGAUAAAAUGCAAGUUUCAGCUUUAUCUCCUAGCUGGAUGGCAAGUUUUGGACCUCCCAGCUUUUGCAUGCUCUGUCCUCUCGUCCUGGAGUCUCCCUCCGCCCUCGUCACCUGGCUCACUCCUGCACAUAUGUCGGGGCUUGGCUUGCAGCUGACUUCAGGAAGCCUCCCUGAAUGCCUGCGUCUGGUCAGCUGCCCACUCUGGCUUUGUUACUCCCCUGUCUGUCCCUGCCUAGCACCCAACACAGAACAGCAGGACAAUUUCCUGUUAGAUUUGCUGUGAAGACAGGGAGCGUUUCCCUUCUGCUUAUUCCUACGCCGCAGGUGUAGCGCGGGGCUAGCUGCAUCGGAGUCCCUAAAUAAAUAUUUACUGGAUGAAUUAAUAAUAGGUAAUAGUAAUAAGAGCAACCACCAUUUACUAAGUACUCAUUCAUCCCAGGAGAAGUCUUUUGAGAGAUUAGGAUAGGUCCAUUUUAUAGACAAGGAAAUUAAGGUUUGGUGAGUUUAAAUAAUGUGGCAGGGCCAGGAGAAUGACCCAGGGCUGCCUGACUCCCAG